rnacentral:lncRNA from 1 species
AUUACUGAUGCCUUUAAGCACAAUGGAAAUUUUAUCACCAUGUCUCCCAUUCUAGUGAGACCAGUAUAACAAACACUUUUGAAAAUAGUUCUUUAAAGUGCUCAGUCAAGCAGCAGUGCAGUAGUCCCUAGGCUUCAAAUCCUUCGGUUAACUCUAAGUGUUGUUACAUCCCUACUCGUGUAAUUAUAUAAAAAUAGAGGAUCAUAUAAUGAUGGAGGGUUUAUAAGUUCUUAUGAGUAAGAAUGAGCAUUACUUUUGAAUCGGAGUUCACAUUUAUUUCACAUUUACCUGUGGAAUAUCUCUAGACUUUUGAAGUCUCUAGACUUCAAGAAAAUGCAUCAUAUUUCACUGAGGGAAUCUUGAAGUCAGAGGUUAUGUGAAAAUAAAAAUGAGGGGGGAUAAAAUGGCAGCUAGCAUGUUGGACAUCGAUCCCACCUCUCUCACCCAGAGCAAAUCAUCAUGACCAGCAUCACCAGUCAGGAGAAGUGGAUGGGAGCCAAACUUGGAAUCCUGGAUGCUGACCAGACAGAAUGAUGAAGAAGUGUACUUGAACUGCUCCAGGGCUCAGGUAGUAUCUACAGCAGGUAACAUAUCACUUGGUACAUCACUGAAAGAGCUGAGUUCUGGGCAGGCAGAAAGCUUGCAUGGUAGUGAUGAGUUGAUGGUUGGACUAGAUGAUCCUACUGUUCUUUCCAGCCUUGAUGAUUCUGUGAUCCUAAAGCAGAGUGGUGGAGUCUGACCCUGCUCUGGGGCCUGGAGCCGGGGUGGCAGCAGUUUGCUGAGCCCGUGGCUGGGGAGAUCCUCUGCAACUCUCAGCACCUUCUACUUGCUCUUGCCACCAUCUUGGCCAACUGAUGCUCUUCUUAUCUCAAGAUUGAUCCUGCUGCAAUUGUGUGGGGCUUGUAGAAGUGUGACUAGAGAAAACAGAAUUUCAUCUUCCCUAGGGACCUAAGCCUGGCCAUUGCUGAAAGGCUGCAACAUUUAACACAUCCUCCCAAAUACCAAGUUCUAACUUAGUGAUUUUUGUCACUUAUGCCUUGCCACGUUAUAGAGUCACUAGGAUAAACAGAUAAAGGAAUUAGUAAGGUAAAAGUGCAAGCAGGAGAAACUUUCUUAGCCUGCUGUUCGUUAAAUGCUUGAUAAUGUUGCUUUGUUUCUCCUCUUUUUUUUUUUUCAACAACCUCAUCAUUGUGCUUUGGCAGCAAGGGAGGUUCUCCAACACUAUAAAGCUUUUUGCUUUCUCAGGACACCGCCAUUUAACUCUAAGUUGUUCAGCCACAGGUUUUCGAUCUGGAAGAUGUUUGUACUCAGCUUUGCCACAUGCCACAAGUCUGUAGCAGGCUAUGCAUUCCUGGGGCAGCCAGAGGGGUGCUCAUUAUUGUCUGAGAAGCCAAUGCUGCUGCUUUUGAAAUUUUAUCUGUGUUCUCUGAGAAGGGAUUUUUUUAUAUACUCAGAAGGAUAAAAGCCUUUCAGCAAAGGCCUUCCUAAAAAUGAAUGCCGUAUUUCUCCUGCUGGGACUUUGUGAUGAAGAAGGAAUCAGAUCCUUCGUUUGGUUUCUCCUCUCAGUCAAAAAAUCAAUGGAGGUAGUAUGAAAUCAAGAUCUGGAAAAUGUGUGAAGCAAAAGUGAUGUGCUUAUGUUGGGUUUUCUUUAAAAUACUUAAAGGCAAAAGGGAUUUUGUGGCCUUAAACCGUAAUGGUUCCAAGUAGGGAACUUGGAGGGACCCAGUAGUCUUGAAACACUGACCAGCAAUACUUGAAGAGUUGGGAUUUCUGGGUGCACAACAACUUUCCCAGAAAGUGCUGCUAAUAAAGAUAAAUCUUGGCUCCAGUAUUUAUGCCCUGUCCCUUAUGAAUCCUCUAACUAGUUUCGUACUCCAUUUUCAGAAUUAAAGACAAACAGUGGGAAUGGUUUGGAAAAUUGCAGGGGUGUUGGGGCUGGGAAAGGCUGUGCUCUACAAGUUGAGUUAGAGGGGUUAAGCAAGCUGUUGAAGAGGGAAGAGAAGUGGGAGAAUAUUCAAAGAGUUUGGAUUUACUUUGAUGUUUCCUUUUAUCAAGCUUGCUUUCAGUCAGCUCAUGCAGCAAUAGUAAUUUCUCAGUGCAGUGUCAAGUACAUAAAGAAAUGUGACAGUCUUCCCUGCUCACCUAGGCUGCCUACUAGAAAUUAUCAUUCAUUAUAAUCAUCAUUGUAGCCAACCAAGUCCAAGUCUGUUCCCACUCCAGUGACAUAGAAAUGGCAAAAAUCCCAGUCACAUCAAAAAUGUAGGCUCAGGCUUGAAGAUCUAUUAGAGAAAUCCAGAGAUGAUUGGUGACAAUAGUUUCAGUAUUGUAUCUAAGAUGUAUGGUCUGUUUUUUAAUGUAGUGUCUUAAAUGAGGAGCUAAAAGAUAGUAGAGAAAAAUAGUUUAAUGUGAUUUUAGGGUUUUGAUCUAACGUGUUACCAGAUGUAGCCACUCAAUCUGUAAAACAGCUUUACUUGGACAGCAUCCUGCUCCAGUGGAUAAACUUAAGUAAUUACCCUGCCAUCACAAUUGAAAAAAAAACCUAAAAAAAAAAUCUAAUCUAGACUCCUCAUUGGCUCAAGCAGAUGAGAAACAGAUAAGAUGGAGUUUCAGCGCCUGUGACAUGUUGUUAUCACUUGGCAACUUCCAAAUGUAAAGUAUUUUAAAAUCAAAUCUAUAAGUCUGUGCACUACUUUGAGGGAAUGUGUCAACAAAAUGCUGUCAGCUCCUUGCCUCCUGACAAGCUGUACAGAUUUCAUACUGCUCUGAACUGUAUCUUGCCCAUCAAAGCAGCAGAUGUCCUUUUUGGCAAUGCUGGUAGUGCAGCUAGGCUGUUUGGUGGCUUUUCUAUAAAAUCAGGAAGAGAAUCUGAUUUUAACAGAGGCCUGAGGUACGGUCUUGAUGUACUAGAGAGGAACAAGAAAAGUUUCUUUCUGAUGAAACAUAGAAUCAUUAAGGUUUGGAAAAGACCAUUCAGUCCAACUGUCAAUGGAAUCUGGCAGUGAGAGGAAAGGAAGCCCUACAGACUUUCAUUCUUUGCUUGUUUGGUUCCAAAUAGGACUAGGAUGUCCUCAACGACAAAAACGGACAACUGGAAGCUGUCGCUCUUGGCCGUAGAGAGGGACUCCAUUGAAAUAGCACCUAUUUUCCAUUCUGAGACAUUCUUCUGCUUUCAAGGUACUUCUGGCUGCUGUUAUCUCCACAUCUUGUGAAUUGCCUUGGCUGGGGAAGUCCAGCUGUUUCUAGUUUGCACAGGAAGGGAGCAUAAUACACAGAUUCAGCAGGCUUAAUAUUUUACCUCCCGGCGUAAUUGUUAGACUGAAGCAUCUUGUCAUGAGUUGAAAGAUGGUAGAGUACCUUUCUCUGUUAACUGUAUAGAUUUACUUGUGCACAAAUGUCUUCUGUACAUUCACGUACUGCAUUUAUCCAGUGCCUUCUUGGGCCCGUAAGCUGCUUUUAUUCCCCGAGGGCAGCACGCAUGUGCUUCUCAAAUAACACAAAACUGAAGGCUAUUGUAUAGAGGCUCGUGGAAAGGAAAGCUGAUCUUUAACCUAUGCAUUCCCAAGUUAUGUAGCAAAAUAUAGACUGAAACUCUUGAACGGUUACACUUUUAAGCUUAUUUACUUAACAUUCAUGCACUUUGACUCUAUCUUUUGUUUGUAAAUUAAAUCUGAUUUCCCCGUGUUCUACAAUAGCUCUCAGUUUUAUUUUUCCUGGCAGAAAAUCUUUUUCCGUCUGUCCUUCAGUUAGUCAAAGGUAGGAGUCUCUCCCUGAGAGAGAGAUUAGUUUGUCUCAUUGGAAUUUUGUACUGCAGGAUGACAGUCUUCCCUGGCACACAGUAAGCUCACCACAAUCCGCAGUAUACAUGAAAUCAUAAUCAAAGACAGAUGCCUUUCCCUGUUAUAAAUAAUCAUUGCUGCUUGCAUAGACCAGAAAAGAUCCUUGUUUAGACUGCUCUUUCUUUCUUGGAGCUCUGUAUUUCCCUUGGCCUUCCCUUUUUUUCAUCUUUUCUGUCUCUAAUUCUAGAUAUUUGCCUAAGGAAAUAAAAGGAAUGGGGAAAGUAGAUCUUGGCACUCUCUUAAUUCUCAGAGGAUUACCCUAUGGAGUGAAAUUAAAUACACAUGACAUAUAAAAGGGAAUGGCCUCCUAAUUUAUAGCAAAAAUCCCAGUUCACAAUAAAUCCGUUCUUUCCUGUUUGUUCGUGUGUAUGAUGAGAACAUGUCAUAUGCUUCUGAGAUGCUGUUAUAAAAGCUUUGUUCUGUUGUAGGAUUAACUUUUCUGAAUAGGUGAAUGGUUUUAUGUAAAUAUCAAAUAGCAAUCGUGGAUGUUUUUAAAUUGGUUAUCAAAUUUACUUGCAUUUCAGCAAAGCCCAGUUCAGUGUCGUCUAUUUUAGCAGCUUCUUAUAAAUUACAAAUUGUCCUCAGGUAGUUGUGAGAUAUCUGAGAUGUCGGGACUCCAGCAGGAAAGCUUCUUGGAUGAUAUUUUCACAUGACUUGUAGAAAAAUUCUGCCUGAAGUAGAUGCUACUAAGAACUUCUAACCUUGGUGAGUGCGCCAGACACUUUAUUGAGCUUUUCAGCUGCAACCAGGAUGCAUCUUCUUUAGAUUGUCAGCACUAAACAAUGUGUAAUUGGCUGCAGUGUUUUGCAUUCUAGGCUUCCAAAUUCUUGUGUUCUUUUCUUUCAAAUAUGUACAAUAUCUCAAGGCAGGGACUGUGAAGAGAGCAUUUCUUGAUUGACUGGUUACUGCUACACUACCACCAUUAAGCUCUAAUCCUUUAAAUAUCUAAGCACUGUGGGGUCAAGUUCUUGCCGUGCUCUGUGCUCUUACAGGAGUUUGGCAGGGGUCUGUUGUUAAGAAACGAGAUCAUUUUGCUCUGCAAGGAGACUGAGUCAGUGUGCUGGAGGUAUCGGUUUUACUCUAUUAGAUUAUAUUGCUGCAGAUAUAUGCUUGCAAAGUGAACUGCAGACUGUUCCUAGUAAGACUGAAACCAGUGGCACAGCAAAUCGUGAUUGUUUUUGCACCAUUCAUCAGCAAAACCUUCUAAUGAGGAAAGUAAUUUAAAAAAUAUCUGGCUAAGAUGGGCCAUUAUGGUGGAACAGCAGGAUUUUGUUUUUAAAUCCUUUUAGAUUGCCAUAUAAAAUCACCACUGUUAAUGAUCUGAUAAAAUGGUCCCCUCCACAAGAACCAGCACUUUCUCCUCAGUAGUUGGUUUUUCUUGUGAUUAUGUGAGGGUUAGGAAAUAGUUUCUUCCUUUAAAGCAUGUGGACCAGUUUCACUACUGACCAUUAAAACUCUUGGUUUUCUUUGCCUGGGAGGAAAGAAAUUGCUGUGAUGUCUUCCCUAUUAGUAUUUAUAGUUUUCUCCUUUACCUCAUGUCUUCCUCCUUCUACACAAGACCGUAAAUACACAUUCCGGGACAAAGGACAGUCUGAUCAGUUUGCCCUUGAAACAUACACUCUCAUGUUGGUUGACAUUAGCUGCAUUAAUCGUCUUAUAGACUUCAGGAUUCCUACCAGAAGCCUCAUCUGAUUCAAGUAAUUAAUCCACACAUCUGAUAAACACCCAGUCCUGGCAUUAAGAUGACUUGUACCUGGUGUCACUAAAAAAAUGGUGGCAGAUGCGUUCAGGUCAGCUAAACUGGCUCUUGGUUUUUGGUGCAUGGCAGUCAGGGUUUGUCUGUCUUAACUGUACUGUUUUAUGGGAAUUGUUUGAGAAUAUAAUGAUACAAAACUGAGGAAAUUAAAUCCCUCAGCUCCAGUUUCGUCUUGGUAAGAUUCAUUUUUUCUUCCACAGUGAAAAGGAUCUGGCUGUGUUCAGCCACUUACAUUUUCUUCUUGUUGAAUUCGCAGAUGUCUGGCCUUGUAGGAAAGGCACAAAUCAACCUAUUUGCAGAGUGAUUCUGUUUCAUGGUAUGUUCAACUUUGACACCGUUCUCUGAUGAUAUGGGGCUAGCAGAGAAAAUCCUGUGCAAGUUACGUGCUCAAACAUCACCAAAAUUCUUGCUCUAUCUGAAAUGCAGCAGAGUCUUUUGAUAGCUUUGUGUUAGAAAGUGGCACGUUUCCUGAUAACUGAUACUCCCUGUUUUGGAUAAAGUCAUGGCAGAAACGUCACGCUGGAGAAUUGCCCAGUGGAUAUUUACACUCAUAAUCCAUUGGAGAAGUGAGGCUCAUAUCACUAGUGAUAUGUGCUGUGUGUUGACUUUCCAGUUCAACUGAGUGUGGCUUAACCUUAUGUCUAGAUCUAUAAAACCAAAUCAUUAAUUAUUCUCCAUUCUCCAGAAGAGAAUGUCUCUUCCACCAAAACUGGGCAAUAUAACAGCAUCAUUUGUGAUGCACUCUGUGCAUAAAUAAGACUGUUGCUGCUAAAACUAUCCAUCAGACUGACUUUUGUAAGUAAAGUAUAAGCAGUUGCUUUCUAGUUAGUAAUGGUGUGGUUGACCUAAUGCGCUACAUUUGCAAUCCUUUUGAAUGAUGUCACUUGAAAGUAAGUUUCUCUAAUUCCACCUUUCCUUCAGUCAAUAUAGGAUAAUUGUAAACAGAAACCCAAGCAGCGGUGAUUUCAUCCUGUUACACAACCAGGAGGCCUGGCCUAACAUCGCUCCUCAAGUAGCCAGCUUGUCUGUAUAGGAACUGUAAGUGAAGAAAAUCAUUCACCAUUUGUGCGUAGGAAUGCAAUAAGGACACUGUAAAUAAAAGCUCAUUGCAAAAAUAACCAGUUAUAAGGUAUCAGAACAUUCCAUUCUCAAACAUGAGCUGUUAGCGUUUAGUAAGUGCUGUAUACAUCAUAGCUAGGAUGUCUAGGACUGUGUAAACCUAUGUAAGGAUUUGUCUACAUCGCAAAGUCUGUUUGAAGAAAGAAGUUUUGGAGGCAAGCAAGAGUCAAUAGAUCAAAGUAAGAUGGGUGGUUGACAAUGCAGAGGGAGACCUACAGCUCUAUUUUCUGAGGUUGUGUGCAGGUAUGGAUGCAGGUGUGGCUAAGUGGGAAUGGCCAGGAGCAGGGACAGAGGCAGGCAGAGCAGGUUGGCGAGGAACAAAGAUGAAAGGCAGAAGCAAAAUGGCUGAAAGCUAGCUUUCUCGGGGAAUGUACUCUGUCUAGCACACUGAAUUUCAGGUCAUCUCUGUCUUACUUUCUGAAAGCCUUGAAAGGAGAGAUAGCUGCUUCAGGUAUUAACAUGGCCUUCCUUAGUUGUUCCUUCUCUUGGCAGUUUUCUGUGGAGCUGCCAGGAAAGCAAAACCCUCUCCUUUUAAUCUUUGAAAGCAUCAUCAGGAAGUUAAGGAGCAGGGAUUAGUUUUGUUAAUAAGUGCAUACAAGGGAACUCCUCUGGGAGCUUUCUAAUUUUCUGUUUUCUUUAAUAGAUGAUGCAUUUUUGUCUUCCUCCUGUGAUACAGUUGGGGUUUGCCUGGUCCUUUUUCUUGUUGUGGAAGAGUGGGGGGAAGAAAAAUAACCCAGUCAGUCUGUUCUUUCUGCUUCUGAAAGAUGUCUUUUCAAGACUUCAGCUGUAGCAAUUUUGUGCUUUCCAAGGGCAUUACUAAGACAUUUAGCACAUCCCCCAAGGAACUGUGGUCAGUGCUAUUGGAUUCCUCCAGGGAAUAGCAGCAGGGAUUGUAACUCUGUCAGAUUAAUGUGGGCUAAGGUCACCAUCCCUUGGGCUAGCUGGCUGGUAUGCCUUGGAGAAAGGAGCAAGGCUCUAUAGGUAAACAAAAAUCCCUGCGUGAUAGUGAGCUGACAUUCACACAUACUAAGAAUCCUUAUUUCAAGUUGCUGAAGGCUGUGUGAGCGUGCAUCUCAACAUAUCUUUGUCCAAUCUCAGCCAGUGCGUUGCAAAGCAAGCAGGCACUUGAGCAGGUCUGGAAUUUCCACCUGGGGAGGGAGACACUGCACACAGCCCAUCAGACAGCACGUCGGCCUCUGUCAAAACCAGGCAAAUGGGUUCAGGCUGAGCAGUGAUUUCGUGCUGGCUGCAGUCGCCAGUUACUCUGACCCCAUUCAUAAAACAGUAGUCAAAGCAAUAUGCUUUUUCAAGAGCUUGAAACAAAUUAGGUGCAUGGAUCUAAAAUAACGCAUGUCCAUGGUAGCUACAUGUUGCUUGCUUUGAGCGUAUGAUAUUUAGACCUUGGAAGACUCCAUCUGUGCAAACAUUAUAACUGAAAUAAUUUGAUGAGUGGUGGAAGAGAAAUCAGUUAUUUCAUUAAUUAUUUGGUUGCACAGAUGGACCUGUAAUCCCUGGCCAGAUGCAGUCAGACAUAUUUACACAAGCAGCAAAGUAGAUCUUUAGAUAUCCAGUUACAGGCCUCUGCAAUAAAGUUAUUAUUGCCAAGACCCCAUUUUGGAGACCUUUUUUCCUUUUUUCCUCCCUUCUUCUCCUCUUAUGUCUCAGCUUUUUCCUUCUCAGUUCAGUAACAGAAUCCCUUCAGCAGACACCCUGUGCAUCGCUUUGAUAAAAGCAUUUAGAAAGAUCAAAGAGAGAGAGCAACUCAGCUGGUGGCCUUUCCCUUCAGAGCGGUGGGUUCAGGCCAUGUCUAUACUACAGAUAUUGUUGGAUAGAGCAAUGUCAAGACAGUUUUGUUACGAAGUUUGGUCCCUGUUAGGCAGAUCUGUGCUAGAAGAAGCCCUGGGAGCAGAUGUGGGUUUUUUUAUGUGUCUGCUGCAUGUGCAGUGCAGCACAUCCACCUGCCUGCAGUGCCGUUGCCGACGCAAUCUCCAUGCAUGCUCAGAAGUUGUUGCCAAAGUAUCUGUGCUGCACAGGAGGCAAAGCAACUGGGCCGGGAAUUAAUAUAGGUCUAUUGGCAAAAACUGUGGAGGAACAAUGUGCUAAAAUACUGCUCUGGUGUUAGACUAUCUUUUGUUUUAGCAAUUAGUUCAGCCUAUACUGGCACGGAGGCUCAUGCUGAUGCAAGUUGUUUUGGUUUUUUGUUUUUUUUUCAGCUGGAAUGCGUUUAUGGUCUAUAGCUUAAUUGUAUCUCAUUUGAUGGAAGAACUGGAUGGAAAAGCAAGGCAUUAGUGUCUUCCAAUUAGUUGGGAUUUUAGACAAUAGAACAUUGAUUCCAUGCUAACUUUCAUGUUUAUUACUGACUUCACUGCUGUGAAAUCAGGUAAGUGCUCUUUAAGCACAGGGUUUGUUGGUUUUAAUAAGAGCACUUACCUUCAAUAGCAAGUGUCUAUGAGCACUAUUACCUAAUACCCACGUCUCUCCCAAUGAAUCUGGAGUUUAUUCCCUUCCUAACCAGCCCUGGACAUUUUGGCUUUUAUUUAUGAGGUUUUUUCUUAUGUUGACAGUGUUUGUAGAUUUUACAGAGCGUCCAGUAAAGGAUGUUUUUAUUAUGAACUCUUUUUGAAAGCAGGAAAAUGGAGGCUUUUCUGUUUCCCACUGUUGUGUUCUUAAAUCAGAAUAAGCAGAAAGUUGGACUUGUAAAUCAUACAAGUGGAUCUACGAUAACAAAGGAGUUGUAGUUCUCUGCUGUAAAGGAUAUACUCUGGCAAGAUGUACAGCAGGUAACUCUUAUAAUGUGAAAAAUGUAGACAACCGGAAUUAACUGCGACCCAAUGUAGCCUGGAACCAUAGCUGUAAUUUAUAAUAUGGUCAAGAAUGCAUUGCAGGCUCCUCAAUCGAUUAGCUAACGAGAAAAAGCUCUGCAAUUAAUUACAAAUCAACUGGAUCAAUAUCCUGUAAGUGAAAGAUAUGAAAUUGCUAACGUUUGGAUGAAACAUUUUUUUUUUUGCCAAGUGUAUUUAUAAAACUUGUAUAAAAUAUGAUAUUUAUUUAAAAAAAAAAAAAGCUCCUUUGACUGUUCAAAGGCAGCACCAUGAAUGCUGAUUUCCUUUUGCUCUGAAUAGUCAACUGAACUGACUUUAUUUCACCAGGUUUUCAUUUGUGUGUAAAAGAACUGAAGGCAACUUAUACCUUUAAUUUGAGACCUUACAAUGAAGCAAAAAAGCUAUAAUAUGGGGCUCUCGCAGUGAUGCUACCCAUGAGUUAAUCAUCAAAACACCUGAAAUACUGAGAGUUUGUGACCAAAUGAUUCUCUCAGUAGAUGGCAGGACUUGAAAUUUUCUAAUCAGUGAUGCUGGCAGUCUAACAUCUUGUCACUUUUAUAGAAGGCAUCCCAAAAAGGGCAGCUGGGGAGUGGGGAGGCAAGCUAAUGCUUGUGUUUGAAAGUAGUUUGUCAUCUGCAUGGUUCUCCAACUUCAAACAACUCUCUGUGCUUUUAUAAAUUGCAAAAAUGGAAGUGCUACUUAUCUGGAAUCCUUUUCAUCUGGCAGUGAUGAUUUCUUUUCAUAUCCGUGUUAUAACACUUCUGUUUUUUAUUAAGAAGACAGAAGACAAUCAUUUCCAAGGAGGAAAUAAUAAUAUUAAACAUGUGAAUCUCUCAUUUUCUGUAAGAUAAUCUUGUUUUAUGAACUUCCUACAUAAUUUUACUUUUUUUUAUAUACACACAAUGAAAAUCUGAGGAUUUCAUUGUAAUUAUAUUCAACAGUAAUGAGAGUUUAACUGAACGGUAAGUCUUCUUGAACUGUAAAGCGUUCUGUGAUAUUUGGAUAAUUCCAACAAAAUUUUGCUGCCCUAACCAGGUUGUGUGAAGCUUGGUUGCAUUAAAAAUGUACCAGUCCUGAUCACUGUUGCAAAGAGGAGCAAUUUUUUUCAAUGCACAAACAAGGAAAGGAACCCUGCCCACACAGUGUUCCUGGUUUCACCAUGGAAAUUCAAACCAUAAUAGCCAUGGGAGUUUCUGAGAUAUGAAGAGCUUUCUGUGAACAGCGUCCCUUUGUUUUCUUCAUCUCUCAGGGAAGACUGAGUCUGUGCUUUUUAAGUCAGUGAAGGGAAAUAUUAAAAUCUGGAGAGAGAAUCUGGGAAGGGAUGGGGAAAGCAGUGAGCACCAACCUGCCAGAAGAGGGUCUUUUCUCUAUGAGAAGCAGAUGUCUGGAGCGACCUUUAGCAGGGGGUGCAGGAGUUAAGGGUGUUCGUGAACUUUGUAGACUUCUGUAUUUUGAUGCUCCAAUUCUUUGUUGCUGACUUAUUAUUAUUGUUUGCUCUGGUGAAAAGGCCUUGGUACCCAUUUUUAUUUUAAAAAUAGUAAUAAAUCAAAGUCUUUUCAUUUAUAUUAGAAUACUAGUGUUCAUCAAGCUGACUGUUUCAAAUAAAUGUUUCUUCUAGCACUUCAGUUGAUCGUUGACUUCAGGGUUAAAACACCAGAAUGGCUGAUAUGAAAAUAUUCUGAGCCUUGAGUUUUUUCUUACAUAUUGGGAAGGAUGCAUAAUGAAAAAUAUAGCAAUGUUACAAAGCAUUGCAUGGCUUUAGAAAGAAAAUGUGUAUGGCUAACAGCUUACAUCAUCUGAAAUGACAAUGAUGAGACUUAGAUUACUAUUAUCAGCUUUAAUUGCAGCUCUGUGCUUUUUUCUGUCUCAAUUCAGUGCAGUUCAGUUUCACACCUGAAGUCAAGCAUUUCAUGCAAAUGUUUGAGGAACAAUGACUUGUAUGACUUGUUUGGUUUCAUGCCUCUUUUGUAGUACAUGUAAGCCUUAAUGUUUAGAAUAUCUGCCUUUUUUUCCCCUUGUUUCCAGAUUGUCAUGGUUAAGGAAGAGUGACCCCGUUUACCCCUGACCCACUUGAGCAGCCUCAUGAGGACAGCAGUAAAGGAAGUUUUCCUGGAGUCUUGGCUGUCCUGUGGGUUUCAUUAGAUUUUCAUGAAGCCUCUUCAAUCUGGUCUGUGGUUUUCUUUUCAAGUAGCAUGUUGCUGAGCUAGGCUAGCUCUGAUGGUGCUGGGAGAGUUAAAUCACCACCAAACUUUCAAGGCUUUAGACGGGAAGCAUGGUUUGACUCCCCAUGAAUGAUGUACUUGGCACAAAAAUCCAGUUUGGUAACAGUUUGCUUGGAGCAAACAUGGAAUCUGUUUCCAGUCCUUUUUAUUCUUUUUUUUUCAGCCUCCACCAACAAAAUAUUUUUUGGUAGAGUAUAUAAUAAAAUGUAGAUAUUUUUGAUGUAUUAUAUAUUAUAGCCAUUAGUUUAAAGGUAGAAGAUAAGAGAACCCUAAUGAAGGUUCAUGAUUCCAUUGAAGAUAACCCCCUUUUUUUUUGCAGUGGUGAAUGUGUGAUGUUGGUUGCAAGUUAUCACAAUGCCAAGAAUUUCCUGGGUCAUUUAACUUCUUCAGUAUAUAUUAUAGGCAGCCAUGAAGUUAUCCUGCCAUUUAUUUUACCUCCACUAGGCAAUUCUGUGCCUCCAGAAUUUUAGUAUGUUUGUCUUGCUUGUUUCAUCUACCUAAAGACACAGCUCUGAUCUUAGUUGCUAUUUUUCACCUUCCGUGACAGUGAGAAACAUUAGUUGGCUUUUACUUGCCUCCUCUGAAAGACAAAUUUACUGUAUAUUGUAUAAUUUUAUUUGUAUAUUAUAUAAUAUACUGCAUAUUGUAUUUAUAAAUAAUAAUGUUUCCUGAACAAGCAAGAAAGUUGAUGAUGUUCUGUUUUAACACAGGUAAUUUUAACACAACACUGAAAGAUAUUAUUGUUAAUUAUUGAAUUAUUUUCUUAGGUUCUUGCCUGUGAAUCUUCUUUUACAGUCAUUACAUGAUGAGUCUAUGGGCAUUGAUUGCUCUGACAAGGUGAGGAUGUGGGAGAAGAAGACAGUCUCAGUAUCAUCACCUUCAUAAGGAGUUUGUAAGUAAUGCAGCACAGAUGAGUUGAGGGAGCUGGGAGAUGGAGAUAUCGCCUUGAAAUAUGGAGGCAGAGGUUAUUUCUUGUCAUACAGUAUGUACUGUUGCUUACUUCAAGAGUUGCUUAGCAGACUCUGCAAAGCCAGUAGUCCUAGAACGAUAUUUGAGAGUGAAUUGCAAUAGCAACAUAAGUAGUAACAGAAAAGGCUUUACCCUGAUUUUACAGGUUGUAUGCAUUUUAUUGUUUUCAGGACUGAGUCAUACUGUAAGGCCUUUUAAUAGCUGAAAGGAUGAAAAAAUAGAAAAACAGAGCAACCUCUUUGGUGUGAUUGUCUCCCAGUGUACAGACAUCUUUGCAUCUAAAUUUCAAAGGAAAUACAGCUUUUCUCUUAAAAGGAAUAAUAUUAAGAAAUAAUAUCUGUAGUUUAUAUGGCCCAUCUUCUGUUGCCCAUUCAUCAUUUCCAGCAAGGGAGAUGACUUUUAUGUUGGCAGAUGACAUUAAGCAACAAGUAACGCUCUGGACAGCAACCAGUCUCCCUCCAAUAAAAGGCAAAGGCAUGCGGUGGGAAGUGUGACAUGUGUGCUGCUGCUUAUAUCCUCUGGGCUUAGUUAAAUUUGGAACAAAUUAAUCUGAGAGCAAAAUCUGGCUUGGGAUGUAUUGACAUGGAUGGCACAUUCCUUAAUGCUCUAUUUAUAUGACAAUAGAAGAGAGUUAUGUCGCCUACGCAGAAGACCUAUACAGAAGAGGUUCUUCACCGUCACUACCAGAAGCACACACAAGAUCAUCCUGAUCCCACUCAGGUUAACUGUCUGGACAGCUGUGAGUCAAGCCUUCAAGCCACGCUGCUUUAUCUGAUUGGUCUCAGACUUGAUCUGGCACAUGAAAGGAAAUGUGAGGAAGUUUCAAGCAGGGAUCGUUUUGCAAGUCCAGAGCUGAGGGUGAGGUCAAGUUCACUCACAUUUUUGGAGUAUCACAUUGCAAACAUAAAGCACCGUGCAUACAGCAUGAGGGUUGGUGGAGCAGUGGUUUCAACUGCAGGAGAUCUGUGUUGCUGGAGUAUUUUUGUGUUGUUUACCAGCAUCAAUGAAAUAUACCACACUAAAGAAACAGCAGUUGCAUGUAUUUUUUAAAGGCGACCCUUCUAGGGAAUAGGCAUAUGGUGACUUUAUCUUCGUUUUGAUGUUUAACUCACACAGGUGUUGCAAGCAUCUCGUGGAGCUGCAGGGUAAUGUUAGCAUUUAGUUAAUGAGUAAGUUCUUAUUAUUCAUGUGGCAUUAAUUUAGCCCACGAUGUUACUCCUUUCCUCCUGCGGUGCGUUCAGAGUCGUGGAGAUUGCUGCAAGAAUUUAUGGGAUGGAAAAGCAGAUAUUUAACUAUGGGGCUUUUUAAAGCUGUGUGGAGUAAUAAAAUCAUUACUGUUGGAAAAGACUACCAAGAUCAUCUAGUCUGACCAUCAACCCAUCGCCACCAUGCCCUCUAACCAUGUUCCUCAGUCCUACUGACUCAACUGCCCUCCUUGCAAACAAGCUCUGUUCCAGACUCAGCCUUAGGUCGUCACUUCAUAAAAAUGGUCUCAUUUCUACUAGGGCCUCACUGAGAUUUCCCAGUCACUCAUUUUUCUGAAGAUGUUUAAGUCUUAAAUGCGUACUUUGUUAUUCUGAAAGGCUUUAUGGCUUUGUGUAAUAAGUUUUUCUUAAAGGAGAAUUGUUGGGUAAGCUGUACAUUUCAGCAAAACCACAAUUUAAAAUUUUGUUAUCUGUUGUAACAUGCAGUAAAUUCCAUGGUUAAUGGAAGAGCAUAUUGAGCAAAAUCCUGUGCCACUCCUGAGCUCAGUUGUACCAAGUGCUCUAAAGGCUGUCCGUGUGGAACAGGUCUGCAUGCUUGUCACUGUUGCGGUGUAAAUGUUGUAUUUCUCAACAUCUACUACGGAGAAGCAGGAGUUUAUUCUCUAAGAAUAGAAAAGCAGAACAGAUAUGAGCAGCUCCCAGGGGGUCGCUGGCCAUCAGCAUUUUCACACUUAGCAUAUUCAGAUAAGUGUGGGGACCUUGUGCGUGGUAGAUGCAAAAUGUUGUACAUACCCACUUUGUUUCCUGAAGUAUUUCUACGUUUACUUACAGCUACCUGAAAUGUUGGAAUAUAGAUGAUACAGCUGUAUGAUGAGGAAUCUUUGAAGUCUUCAGAUAUUCUCAGCUGAGCUUUUAAAAAAAAACAAUGCCCCCCCCCCAAAUAAAAAAAAAAAUAAAAAAUGAAGGCACUGAAAUGAAUCAUUCUUUCCUGAAAAUGCUAAUUAUAAAUCCCAGGAAAAUGUAAGAUUAUAAAUUGCAGAAUAUUUUAAUACCUUGCAUGCAAAUUAGUCAACCACUCUAAUCACGUAAAUAAGCACCGUCGAGACAUUAUGUGAAGGACCACAGUAAUGGGCACCUGUCUAAUCCUUUAGUGAUCUUUUUCAGAGUGGUAAUGACAGUGGUGCUAACUGUGAUGGAGGAGUGACGUGUUCCUAGACAAAACUUGGAAGGACAGGCUCUGAUCUGUUAGAGAUCGUCUAUAUUUUAAUUUUUGAAUGCAAAAUUCUCUAGGGCUUUGUUUGGUACGGAGGGGUGGGGGCUGUCUCACUUCUCACUUUAGAAUUUUAUAAUGAAAUAGGCACAGUCCUGGGAUGCUCUCAUCACUUGUAUGCUUAUCAGGGAGAGCUGUGCACAAGCUGGAACUAAACUAAACCCUCAAUGCAAAUCCCCACUGUGCCCUGAGAGGAGGAUAAUAAGAAAAGGAGAGCAUGACAUGGCCUUGUAUCUCCCUUGCCUUAACAAGAGCAGUAAGGAUUUGAUGGGGAAUAACAAUGCUCGCAUCUUUAGUUAUCCUAUGGAAAUCAAUGCAAAGUGUGCUCCCGCUCAGGGACAUAGCGGCUCAAGGGCUAAAUUAGUUGAGCAAUUCCUGCACAAUUUUACCUUGUCCUUUAGAAUUCUUUUCAUUUACUAACAGUCUCAAGGUACUCCUUGGUUUCUCUGUGCUGUUUUCACCAUUUUAUCAUGACACCAGGGAUCUAAACUUUGUGCACCACUUUCUUUCAUAAAGAGCUGAUCACUGUGUCCAGUCUGUUACAGGCUUGAUCGGAUAGAAAUGGAUGAGAUCAGAGAAGCUGGCAAUAUUGCUCCUAACCCUUCCUGGUGCUAUAUUGGGUACUUGAAAAUACCAAAGGUCUUAUUUAAAGGUCUGUUAAGUCAUUAUCUUCUUUCCAAGAGAAAAAGGGGCGGUCCCUUAUAAUACAUACCUCCUCCCUCUAAAAGUCUCAGUUUGAAAUCACUUUGUGCUACUCUUUGGUUUUUAUUCUUAUUUAACAUCUAGGAUAUGUUAUAUUUCACCAAAACACAUCCCUAGCUUUCAACUUUUUCUCAUUAUUUUAUGGGGCUUUUUGUGAAUAAAGUGAGGAGUGUCUGCCUUUAAGCAGACCUGUUUUUCCUUUCCAAGGCAGAGUCUUUCAUCAUUAACUUUCAAAUAGCAAAUCAAUCACACUAAACUGCUGUUCUUUUUAUCCUAAUUAUUUCUCCAUUUGCUGUAUUUCAUAUUCUGCAUAUACAUUAAUAUAAUUUUGAUCGUCUUUUUUUUUUAAAAAAAAAAAAACAUAUUAAUACUUAUUUAUAUCCCUUUCCUCUCGAGCUUCAUUAAGGCUGUAUUGGUGCUCACCUUUGUGAACAUUUGCCCUUGAAAUUUUUAACUCUCAUGACAAGCAUGCAGCUUUGCUGCUAUUGUUAGCCAUAAAUUAACUGCUUAUGCUCAGACUCAACUCCCCAUUCUCCUGGGGUACAAUCAAGAAUCCUUCUGCCAUGCACCAGAGGAGAAGAGAGAACCAAAUCUCAGCAUUUCAAUAUCUGCGCCUCAGUAUGAUGUUGUUGCUUGUGGUCAAGAGUAUUUUCUUACUCUGUCUUGGCUAAUGGCAAACUUCUGGAUGUUUCUGAAAGUGUAUGCCCCCUGAACAGUCUGUGGUAAAAUAUUCAGACUUUCCAUGACAGUGGUAUCACAAUCCUGACUCAUAGCUGUAGUAAAUUUUUGUGGGUGUUACUACCUUCUUAGUUCUUUGUAGCAGAUCAUAUGUUUAAUCUAUGAAAUCAGACUCUCUUCUGUUGUCGUGGCUGGGAAUAUGCAUGAAAAGAAUAGCUGUCCAGUAAUAGAAUCCAUUUCAGUGAUACCAUACUUGUGACUUCACUAAUUUGGAGAUGUGAUGACUGGGUGGCUCCAAGAAGAGUCUGGCAAGCUACAGGUUCUUAUUCUGGCCCUUGGGUAAAGUGUCAUGCCUACUGUAAGCAUGUGGUCUGGGCCCUAUGAAAGACAAUAUUGUGUUUGUGUGUAAAUGUACAUUUCUAGCUUAUUCAGUCAGCUGCUUGGAUUUGAAAAGCAAAGACAAAAAAAAAAAAAGCAAAAAACAAAAGGAAAAAAGAAUAGGAAAAAACAUUUGCAGAGAAUAAAUAGUCUCUGGCACUGGUCGAGAAAGUCCCAGUAGAAACUUGGGUCAACUGUUAAGGAGAAAAACGUGAAGACGGGAGCUAAAAUAAAUUCUGACAAGAUGCCCCUGUAAAUCAAACUUGUAUUUUUGGAAUUCUGUACAGGCUGUGGAUUUGUACUUGGCAUUGCAUUUACACACAUGUUCAUCUGCUGAAUAACGUAGGUUGUUUAGGUGUCUUGGCAAACCCCAUUUGUACAGUACGUACAGAAGCUUUGCCUCACAGUAAAACUGUAACUUAGCAUUUUUGUUUCUUUCCUCUCGAGGUGAUACGGAUUUCUUGUGUUCUGACAUUUGUGGCAAUGCUGUAUGCUUUUCUAAAGUUUUAGAAGAUUAAUAUGAGCAUCUUUUCACAGGACCAGAAGAGAUAUCUGUCUUGGUAGCAAUUCCUUUGGAAGAUGAUCUAAAAGAUUCAGAAUAAGAUUUAAAAAUCCUUGUCUAAGGGAAGAGGGUACAGCAGAAUCAAGUAAUCCUAGAGGAUUUUAUUUCUGUUCCAAAAGGCACACAAGACUCUAUUACACUGGAAAACAGCAUAUUAAUAAGUUCUUAUAGGGUCAGUUUUUAUAGGCAAUGCUCUGUAUAGGUUGGUAGAGUCUCUUCAUAGGCAUAGAUUGCAUCAAGAGACUGCUAAAACCCAAAUAUUUUGAUCCCUGGUUUUAAAUUUUCUGUCCUAUCUACUGAAUUAAUUCCUUUGUUAAAGCUUUUCUCUAACGUGCACAGUAUGCCUAUCCCUUUCUGUUCCUCUCUUGCAUGUAGCAUAAGAAAUAAAGCUUUUUAUGAUUUUUUAAUAGAACAUAAUACUUUUUUUUUUAAGUAAAGAUAAACUCUUCCUAGAGGUCUCAUAUUUUGACAGGCAGUGUUUAGAAAAACAAAGACCGAUGGACACCUGUACUUAAAAUUCCGUGUUAUAGUAGUGCAAUUUGGUUUACUCUCAGGUGGUUUGGAACAUCACCUUGCAAAGCAUUAGCCCUUUUUUUCCCCCCACUUCUAGCUUACAAAGGAAUAGAUACUAGGUAAUGUAAAACUUAAUGCAUGAUUUUUUUUGCUCACUAUAUCUUUUAAACAUAUAUAUUAUAUGUUUAAUUCACCUAUUGCAAACUAACACUAAGAAAUCCUAUUUCAAUCUAAAUUCAGUCUUGUACAGAUUGAAAUAGAUUUAAUAAAAAAAUUCUUCAUGUGUUUUAGUGUUUAAAAAUAAACUUCUCUUAAAAAUUUCUGCUAGAAAAAGUUCUUAGGAUGCACCUUUCCUACCAAAUACACACAAUUUUUUAUAUAUAUGCUAUGGCGAAUGCCAAGGUGUGAUACAGUGAUCCUACACUGUAGGAUGGCUGUUAUAUCUGGAAGGAGGAUUGCUAUACAUACAUCUAGUUCCCUACUUUUGCAAAUAGUGUUUCCUAACAUUGGUGUUCUCCCUGAUUCUUCCAUUUUAAACUCCAAGGUGUAAAUGUCUUCUUAAGCUUCUCUUGAAGAACUUUCUCUUCCCAGAGGGUUUUCUGGCCUUGUUUUUCCCUGAGUCAUGAAAACAUGAAGUUACGUGCACCUAUGGGGCAGGUUUGGAUGAAUGUGGACUUUCAGGUGUAUUUGUAUGCAACGCCAGACUGAACAGGGCUCUGAGCAGCUUGAUCUGGCUGUAGAUGUCCCCAUUCAUUGUAGGGGAGCUGGGCUAGAUGGCCUUUAAUGGGCCCUUCCAACUCAAGUAAUGCUAUGAUUCUAUUAUUCUGUGUUUCAUAUUCUGUGGUAUAGAAUGAACAUAACAUGUGGAGAGGUGUUAAAGACAAUGCUGAGCUGCUGCCUCUGAGCCAGUUGCAGCUGAUAGUAUUCUGCCUGUGGCCUUAUGUAGGACUGACUUCUGUGUGGGGUGAGAAUGAAUCUCGAGGCUGAUUGUUGGUGACAACAUAAAUGAAUGUCAGGAAACUUAACUCAUUAUAUUGUCUUCUAGGUCUUUGUGUCAUCUCUACUGUCAGAAUAACAAGAGACUGCUUCUUAACAGGCUUCAGGUUUGGGUUUUUUUUUUUUCCCUUUUUGUCUUGGCUUAUUCUGAGUGUAUCUUAAACCCGAGUGCCCUCUUCUGAUCUUUAAGUAGGUGUCAACUCUCAGCACACCUGUCCCUGUGGCUGCAGCUCAGCAGCCAAUUGUUUGAAGUUAGACAAGCAUCUGGGGACAGAGAUAUUUUAAUUUGUAAUCAGCUUUAAAGCUUUAAAGCCUUCAACACUUGCUCUGAUCAGAAACAGGAGCUUAGGCAGAAAUUUGUCUUUCCUACUUAUUAAAAACAUUUUCCUCCCCUGGCAGGAACCGUAGGCUUGAUCUGAGUCCACUGAAGUAAAGAUAAACCCUUAUCAGCUCUGGCCCAGCCCUUUACACAGUGAGUUCCCUGGCCAACAGAGCCACUUGGGCUGGAGAAAGCAUAGCAUUACAAGAUUUUCAAGGGACAAAUACUAAUUAAGGAUAAUCUUGUAGAAAAUACUACCUUUUUGGUAGUGGGCAUAUUUAUCUUGGGAUACACUGGCAAGCUAUAAUUCUAAAAUUACCAACCUUGGGGGAGGCUCUCCAAUGCUACUAAACAAAAGUCAAUUUGUGUACAUACAUCUAGACAGAUGUACAUUAUGUAUAUUAGAUAGCUACGUAUGAGUAAAGUUCAUUGAUUAUUAAUAGGCUG